GGGGGAAGGCUGAAUUUCCCCUGAGUGUUUUAGUAUAUGAUAUUGGAGUUAAAGUAUGUGUAUAACAUCUUCAUUAGAUCUGCAACCUGAUGGCCAGUGGCUACGUCCCCCUCCAGCUGCUGAUGUCAAGAAGAGGGGACACCCUCACUGAGGAGCCUUCACAGCCAGUGAUCUGAGGAGCAGGCAUUGCGUUGGGCAAUGUGCCCAAUGUUUUUGGAGUACUUGAGGGGGAGACCACAUCUUGGACAAUGCAUUCCUUUUGGUUCGAGUUCUGUAUUUGCCUGAGAUAUACAAGCAAAAGGACGUGCAUGGUGAUAGGACAUCCAGGUUACAACUGAAU
ensembl:lncRNA